UUAGCGAUCUUUAGAUUAUAAGGAAAGCUUCUAUUUGGGACUACCUGUUUUCAAGCGGGAGGAAGAGGGUAGCAAUAACAGGUCCGUGAUGUCCUUUAGAUGCUCUGGGCUGCACGCGUGCUACAAUGUGAAUCACAAAGGAAAAAUAAAUCGAAAGAAUGCAUCACUUCUCCAAAGAUUCACGUAGCUGGGAUUGACAUUUGGAAUUAUUGUCAUGAACCAGGAAUCCCUUGUAAAUGUAUGUCAACACCGUACGUUGAAUACGUCCCUGCCCUUUGUACACACCGCCCGUCGCUCCUACCGAUUGGACGUUUUGGUGAAAAUACUGGACUUUAAUUUAAAGGAAGGUAUUUAAAUCAGCUCGUCUAGAGGAAGGAGAAGUCGUAACAAGGUAACGGUAGGUGAACCUGCCGUUGGAUCAGU
rnacentral:rRNA from 1 species